GGGGAAAAAAACACAUGUUCGGUAGCUUUUCAUUUUAUUCUUUAAGUUUGGACAUUAACCACAAACCUAUGAAUAGAGAGUACCACGUGUCUGAAAAUGUAAACUAAAAAUGUACAUGGAAAAUAUCAAAAUAGCAUGGAAAAUAACACAUGGUGUGACCGUCUGCUGUGAUUAUCCAUUCUAUGGUAAGUUUUAUGCAAUUCUAUUUUUUUUGCUUUUACAUAUACUUAAAGGUCCUCCUUGAACACAUCAAUUCCAGAAAAUAUUUUUUUUCUACAAUUCUCCUGGAAUCACAAGGAAGAAAUAGUUCAACUUCUAUAACGGAAUCAGCAUCAUGCCGAUGAGAUCCCAGAGAUGAAACCUGUACCGUUUAUAUUGGUUUCGGGUCAUUGGUUCAUUAUGGGUCAUAACCUAUACUUUGAUUUUAAAAACUGUGUUUCAAUCAGUGGUCCAUUGCUAAAGCGCCCCGUAGAAAUGCAGGAUGAAGUCUGAAACAUGAUACCUAUUUAUGCUCACUUGCAUGUCAAGCUGGGGAUUCUGGGAGGAUUAUAGAAACAUAAUUUUAUAGAAUUUCUGUGCCCAAGGCAGGUUAUUCCCAAACUUCUCAUUCAGAUAUGUAGAUGAUGU